ACAAGCCGGAGGAAGUGGGAUGACGUCAAGUCAUCAUGGCCCUUAUGUCCAGGGCGACACACGUGCUACAAUGGCCGGCACAGCGGGAAGCGAGGGGCGACCUUGAGCGGGUCCCUCAAAGCCGGUCUCAGUUCGGAUUGCAGUCUGCAACUCGACUGCAUGAAGUUGGAAUCGCUAGUAAUCGUGGAUCAGCCAAGCCGCGGUGAAUACGUUCCCGGGCCUU
rnacentral:rRNA from 1 species